rnacentral:rRNA from 1 species
UAAAUGAACUUAAAUUCAACUUAAAAUUUUUUUAACAAACAAAGUAAAAAAUAACAUUUUAAAGUUAAUUAAUAGAGGUCCAGCUCUAUUAAUAAAGGAUACAACCUAAAACAAUGAAUAAUGAUUAUACUAAUUAAAGAAAUUAACUAUGUAGGCCUAAAAGCAGCAAUCAAAGUAAAAGCGUUAAAGCUUAAUUUAAUAAGCCUUAUUAUAACAAUAAAAUAAUCUUAAUUCAUCAAAACUAUUAAGUCAAUCUAUUUAAAUAGAUGUGAUUAUACUAGAAUGAGUAAUAAGAAAAUAUUCUCUUAGUGCAAGUGUAAAUCAGAACGAAUACCUCGCUGAUAAUUAACGAACCUUUUGAGGGGAAAAUAAUAUUUUACAAGAAAAAUCUAUUUAACCCAUCGUAAACCCAACACAGGAGCACACUAGAAAGAUUAAAAAUAUAGGAAGGAACUCGGCAAACAUGAACUUCGCCUGUUUACCAAAAACAUCGCCUCUUGCAAUUAAGGUAUAAGAGGUCCUGCCUGCCCAGUGACAUUAGGUUUAACGGCCGCGGUAUUAUGACCGUGCAAAGGUAGCGUAAUCACUUGUCUUUUAAAUAAAGACCAGUAUGAAUGGCAAGACGAAAGUUCAACUGUCUCCCUAAAUUAAUCAAUGAAAUUGAUCUUUCCGUGCAGAAGCGGAAAUAUAACUAUAAGACGAGAAGACCCUAUGGAGCUUUAAACAUAUAAUCAAUUGUAAAACAUAAAAUCCAAAAGACAAUAUAAAAUAAAACAAUGUGGUUAAAAUUUUAGGUUGGGGCGACCACGGAGAAAAACAAAACCUCCGAGAUGAAGAGAAUAUCUUAAUUUAAGAACUACAGUUCUAAAAAAUAAAAUAUUUAACAUAAUUGAUCCAAUAUAUUGAUCAACGAACUAAGUUACCCUAGGGAUAACAGCGCAAUCCUCUCCAAGAGUCCCUAUCGACGAGGGGGUUUACGACCUCGAUGUUGGAUCAGGACAUCCCAAUGGUGCAGCCGCUAUUAAAGGUUCGUUUGUUCAACGAUUAAAGU